rnacentral:tRNA from 1 species
GUCCCCAUCGUCUAGAGGCCCAGGACCUCGGCCCUUCAAGCCGAGUACGCGGGUUCGAAUCCCGCUGGGGACG